GAUGAACGCUGGCGGCGUGCUUAACACAUGCAAGUCGAGCGAAGCGGUUUUAAGGAAGUUUUCGGAUGGAAUUAAGAUUGACUUAGCGGCGGACGGGUGAGUAACGCGUGGGUAACCUGCCUCAUACAGGGGGAUAACAGUUAGAAAUGACUGCUAAUACCGCAUAAGCGCACAGUGCUGCAUAGCACAGUGUGAAAAACUCCGGUGGUAUGAGAUGGACCCGCGUCUGAUUAGGUAGUUGGUGAGGUAAUGGCUCACCAAGCCGACGAUCAGUAGCCGACCUGAGAGGGUGACCGGCCACAUUGGGACUGAGACACGGCCCAAACUCCUACGGGAGGCAGCAGUGGGGAAUAUUGGACAAUGGGGGAAACCCUGAUCCAGCGACGCCGCGUGAGUGAAGAAGUGUUUCGGCAUGUAAAGCUCUAUCAGCAGGGAAGAAAAUGACGGUACCUGACUAAGAAGCCCCGGCUAACUACGUGCCAGCCGCCGCAGUAA
rnacentral:rRNA from 1 species